GCAAGUCGAGGGGUAACGAUGGUGCUUGCACCAGGCGACGACCGGCGCACGGGUGAGUAACGCGUAUGCAACCUACCUUUAACUGGGGAAUAGCCCGGAGAAAUUCGGAUUAAUGCCCCAUAAUAUUUAUCUAAUGCAUAUUAGAUUCAUUAAAGCUCCGGCGGUUAAGGAUGGGCAUGCGUGACAUUAGUUUGUUGGUGAGGUAACGGCUCACCAAGACUACGAUGUCUAGGGGGCCUGAGAGGGUAGUC
rnacentral:rRNA from 1 species